UAGGUGCUUCUCAGUCAUUCGGUAUUCUC
rnacentral:piRNA from 1 species